GCAAACCACUUAAAAUACAGCAUAUAUGUCAAAAAAGUGGCAGAUCUACGUGGAAAUGUGAUGUCAUCUGUAGUGCACAAACUCAACGGGAGACAACAAGGAUGCACAAGGGGCGCUGAAGAGGUUACA